rnacentral:rRNA from 1 species
UAGGGAAUCUUCGGCAAUGGACGAAAGUCUGACCGAGCAACGCCGCGGGAGUGAAGAAGGUUUUCGGAUCGUAAAACUCUGUUGUUAGAGAAGAACAAGGACGUUAGUAACUGAACGUCCCCUGACGGUAUCUAACCAGAAAGCCACGGCUAACUACGUGCCAGCAGCCGCGGUAAUACGUAGGUGGCAAGCGUUGUCCGGAUUUAUUGGGCGUAAAGCGAGCGCAGGCGGUUUCUUAAGUCUGAUGUGAAAGCCCCCGGCUCAACCGGGGAGGGUCAUUGUAAACUGGUAGACUUGAGUGCAGAAGAGGAGAGUGGAAUUCCAUGUGUAGCGGUAAAAUGCGUAGAUAUAUGGAGGAACACCAGUGGCGAAGGCGGCUCUCUGGUCUGUAACUGACGCUGAGGCUCGAAAGCGUGGGGAGCAAACAGG